AUGUUCAUUCAAUAUUCCUGCAGUCAGACACUAAUCGAGUCUGAUUCAGUGAUCAUCAAACCUGAUCAGUGUCAUAAACUGACCUGUACAGCCUCUGGACUUGACUUUGAUAGCUACUGGAUGGCUUGGAUCAGACAGGCACCUGGAAAAGGGUUGGAAUUUGUUGCAACCAUCUCAGGGGGCAGUGGUAGCAUAUAUUACUCCAGUGCAGUUAAUGGCCGCUUCACCAUCUCCAGAGACAACAGUAAGAAGCAGGUGUAUCUGCAGAUGAACAGUGCUUUCGCUCAGCAACCCCUGAAGGAUGUGUUCGUUUCGACGCAGUGGCAGAACUAA